rnacentral:rRNA from 1 species
GUUUGAUCAUGGCUCAGGAUGAACGCUAGCGGCAGGCCUAAUACAUGCAAGCCGAACGGUAAGUUUGAUAGCAAUAUUGAACCUAGAGUGGCGUAAGGGUGCGUAACACGUAUGCAAUCUACCCGCAACAGGAGGAUAGCUCCCCGAAAGGGGAAUUAACCCUCCAUGAGAUCACACGAGGGCAUCUGAGAGUGAUUAAAUCUGAGGAGGUUGUGGAUGAGCAUGCGACUGAUUAGCUAGUUGGCAGUGUAACGGACUACCAAGGCGAUGAUCAGUAGGGGAACUGAGAGGUUGAUCCCCCACACUGGCACUGAGAUACGGGCCAGACUCCUACGGGAGGCAGCAGUAGGGAAUAUUGCGCAAUGGGCGAAAGCCUGACGCAGCGACGCCGCGUGAGGGACGACGGCCUUCGGGUUGUAAACCCCUUUCAGGAGGGACGAAGGUUCACCCGGUGAAUAGCCGGGAGGACUGACGGUACCUCCAGAAGAAGCUCCGGCUAACUACGUGCCAGCAGCCGCGGUAAUAGCU